AAUGUCAGCAGCAGUGUAUUUCACUGGUGGAUCAUUUAUUCAAAUGCAUAAGGUAUUUUAGGAUUAUUAUGUGCACAUUUUUUUUUUUUGUGGUGAUAUGCGUGCUGAUUAUCCAGGUGAUUUUUUUAAAUAAUAUGCAUUCUAUGUUGGCAAUACUUUGUCAUCAUACUAAUGUAAAUCUACAUAUUUUUGGUUUGGCAGAGUAUUGUAUUAACUUACAAAUGUUUUCUAUAUCUAGGACAUUCUGCCAAAUAUGGCAGCUAUACUUUAUUGCAUCUUGACAGCAAUACAAUUCUGGACAUUCAACUAAUACAGAGCAAUGAAGUUGGAGGCAGUGCACACAUGGAGAAGGAAGGACUCAGAAGAGGUCUGGAUCAUCUAGAGUCCAACCAGUUACAAGUAGAUUACAUUGUGACUGAUCGCCACACCCAGGUGCAGAAAUAUCUGCGGGAGAGAGAGAUCCAACAGUACUAUGAUGUUUGGCACCUCGAGAAGGGGCUAUCUAAAAUAUUAGACAAAUUGUCAAGAAACAAAGACUGCCAAGUGCUGCGAAACUGGUUGGUGGGUAUAAAAAAUCACAUCUACUGGUCAGCCAUGUCUUCCACAGAAGGACCAGAGAAAGUUGCUAAGUGGAAGAGUUUGUAAUCACAUUCAGAAUGUCCACAUUCAUGAAGAUCCAGUAUUCCCCAAGUGCGCUCAUGCAGACAGAGUGACCAGAGACCCUAGUAAAUGGUUCAAACCAGGUACCAUGGUCCUGUAUAAAGUGGAGAAGCUGCUCAUGAACAAGAGAGUUAUCCGCGAUGUGGAGAAGCUGAGCCACCAACAUCAAACUUCAGCUCUUGAGGCAUUCCACAGUGUCAUUCUGAGAUUCGCCCCCAAGAAUGUUGUUUUUCCUUUUAUUGGAAUGCUGUGCAGGCUGUAUCUUGCCUAGAAUGCAUUUUAACGAGAAUGCUGAUCGUGAACAGGCAAUGAACUCGGAAGGCGAAGCUGUCUAUCGAAUAAUGUAUCCAAAAUCUAAGAAGGGGCAACCAAUUGUGAAGUCAGUGGAGACAGAGCCUACUUUUGGAUACGUCAAAGAUCUGAUGAGACUGGUGUUUGUAGAGGUGUUUGAAGACCCUGCCUAUUAUGUUGAGGAACUACAAAAAGUACCCAUUCCAGAUUCCCUAUCAGAACAGUUUGACAGGCCGACACAGGAGGAUCUCACUGCUAGACACGAGUCUAGGUUCAAUCCAGCGGUGGCCGGUAGCCAACAUAGUUCCCCCCAGCCUCAGGAAACUCUUGCCGAAUCCGGAGGACAACACACGAUGGAGUGACCACGCGCACAUGUCUGCCAAAAUAUCCCAGCACCAGCUGUCAAAACUACGAUAGGCAAGAUACCUGAAACGUCUGGCAGAGUGGUGGGAUUGUUACAUAGUCAGUAAUGUAGCAUUUUGUAUUAUGUUCAACAAAUACUUCUUGUACAUUUGUAUGCCAUAUUUUUAUAUGUCCCUGCAAAUAAUUUUUUCCAAUUAUUGAUAUUUAAAUUUAUUUUAUUACAAUGCGCACCUUGCUAGAUAAAUAAACACAAUUUACAAAGUUUAUUGUUUUUUUAUCUGUAUUAUUGCAUAAUGAUAAAAUCUGAGAUCUUUUUUCAUAAUUACUCACUCCUCCUCUCUUCUCCUUCUAAGUGGGCCAUAGUCAGCUCUGUAAAUGUUAUUUAUGUUCUGAAGUGUAUAGACAUUUAGGCA